rnacentral:rRNA from 1 species
UACAGGGGGUGCAAACGUUGCUCGGAAUUAUUGGGCGUAAAGCGCGUGUAGGCGGCUUUGCAAGUCGGGUGUGAAAGCCCUCAGCUCAACUGAGGAAGUGCGCCCGAAACUGCAGAGCUUGAGUACCGGAGAGGAUGGCGGAAUUCCCCAAGUAGAGGUGAAAUUCGUAGAUAUGGGGAGGAACACCGGUGGCGAAGGCGGCCAUCUGGACGGAUACUGACGCUGAGACGCGAAAGCGUGGGGAGCAAACCGG